GUUUUCGCAAACGAAACGAUGGACGCGGAUGUGCAUGCGGAUGCUCCGACCGGGUCAAUAAAGUAAUUGAGACUGGCGCCGCGGAGGCGGAGGGCAGAAAGGAUAAGCAAACAAACCAGGAGACGCCGGAGUGCACACGAGGGGUUGCAAAUGGAUGCGGGCUCUGCAUUUAUGCAAAUGAUAUAGGGCAGGAGUCGACCAGAUACUGUUACCCGCUCUAU
ensembl:ncRNA lncRNA:CR45440 long non-coding RNA:CR45440